ACGAGGGGGGCAAGCGUUGUUCGGAAUUAUUGGGCGUAAAGGGUGCGUAGGCGGUUUGACAAGUCAUCUGUGAAAUCUAUGGGCUCAACCCAUAGUCUGCAGGCGAAACUGUCGGGCUUGAGUAUUGGAGAGGUGAGUGGAAUUUCCGGUGUAGCGGUGAAAUGCGUAGAUAUCGGAAGGAACACCUGUGGCGAAAGCGGCUCACUGGACAAUAACUGACGCUGAGGCACGAAAGCUAGGGGAGCAAACAGGAUUAGAUACCCUGGUAGUCCUAGCCCUAAACGAUGAUUGUUUGAUGUGGCAGGUACCCAAUCCUGCCGUGUCGAAGCUAACGCGAUAAACAAUCCGCCUGGGGAGUACGGUCGCAAGGCUG
rnacentral:rRNA from 1 species